AUGUCACCUCGUCCGAAUAAAAGUAAGGAUAAGAAAGCCUGUCGCACGAGGAUACAUGUAGUUGAGGUGCCUUCAAAUUCCAUGUAUUGUCCUUUGCCUCAGUCUAAUCAGGGGCUCAACAGACUACGCCUCAAUCUGGUCAGGGGCUCAGCAAACUACAUCAGGGGCUCAGCAAACUACACCUCAAUCUGGUCAGGAUGCUCCACUAGGAUUUUUUUAUACCCACACCAUUUCAUCCAGACAUACCCCACCAUACAUGCAGUCUGGGGAUCUUGCAUCCCAUAUCCUCCACCUGGACCCUCAUCAGUCUAUUAG